AGAUGUUGGUUUGUGUGAUCCUGG
rnacentral:piRNA from 1 species